CCAUUAGAGCCCCAGCUAUAGCAACAAGAAGGUUGUGCCCAACCGCUCAGUGAGGUCUCGGGGAUGACCCACAGAUGGGUCAUCCAUGCGAGUGAAGGAGAGGCUCCUGGGACACGAGGCACUAUGUAGGGUCAGUGGCAGUAAGGGACAAUAACAGUGUUGAGGGCUGAGCUAGGUGUCACUCAGAGGUGGACUUGAUGUUGGAGAUGUCAGGCUUGCUUGACACUGGCCUUGUGGGGGUGGCAUUCUGGGACAGGCAAAGCAAAGAGGCAUCUUCAGUAGUGAGGAGCCGAGCCAGCCCAGGGAGAGCAAGCAGGAGUCGGUGGAGCCAGUGGUUGACAGUGUGGACUGCGGUAGCGGACAGCUGGGUUUAAGACCUGGGCACAAUGGAGGAUUCUCUUCAUCUUCCUGUGCCUGUUUCUUCACAAGAGGCUCACUGAUCAUUGGCCCAAACCAAGGUGAGGCCCAGGCCAUGGGAGGCAGGAGCUCGGGCCUCAGGUAUGGAUAAGCACAUGGGUGUGGGUUCUGCCUCUUAUCACUGCUGAACCUAG
rnacentral:lncRNA from 1 species